GAUGAACGCUGGCGGCGUGCCUAAUACAUGCAAGUCGAGCGAACGGACGAGAAGCUUGCUUCUCUGAUGUUAGCGGCGGACGGGUGAGUAACACGUGGAUAACCUACCUAUAAGACUGGGAUAACUUCGGGAAACCGGAGCUAAUACCGGAUGAUAUUUUGAACCGCAUGGUUCAAAAGUGAAAGACGGUCUUGCUGUCACUUAUAGAUGGAUCCGCGCUGCAUUAGCUAGUUGGUAAGGUAACGGCUUACCAAGGCAACGAUGCAUAGCCGACCUGAGAGGGGGAUCGGCCACACGGGAACUGAGACACGGUCCAGACUCCUACGGGAGGCAGGAGUAGGGAAUCUUCCGCAAUGGGCGAAAGCCUGACGGAGCAACGCCGCGGGAGUGAUGAAGGGUUUCGGAUCGUAAAACUCUUUUUUUAGGGAAGAACAUAUGGGUAAGUAACGGUGCACAUCUUGACGGUACCAAAUCAGAAAGCCACGGCAAACUACGG
rnacentral:rRNA from 1 species